CCGUCAUGGCCCGCUACAAAAAAACUAUUGCAAUCGGAAUUUGAAUGAGGCGUCGACCCUUUGAUUAAUAUUCUUGAUUGCUAUAGUACCACAUACUAUUUUUUUUACGAUUUCGCAAAUGCCCUUCCUUUUAGGUUUUCAAAAUUGUUUCUUUUCAUUUCAGCCGCACACAUCACACUUUCACCAGAGAAGAAGAACUCGGAGAAGGAAACCCUUGCUAGGGCUGCAACAUAGAGGUGAAAUUUGGAGAAGGGCUACAUCAGAGAAGAAGAGCUUCUACAAGGUAACCUUGAUCUUUUGUAUACCUAGCCCUAUACGAGAUUGUUGAUUUCUCUAACAAAUACAUAAGAAAAUAUUUGAAAUUGAACAAUCGAUUUGGGUUUUCUGAUUUUUCCCUUUCUUUGAUUUUACGGUAUGGCCAUCUCAUUGCUUACCCUGUGAUGUCUUAGAGGGUAUUCGGAGGAGCCCAAGUUCACGGAACUUCGCGCUACAUCUUCGAAAAUUAUAGUUGUUAUAUUCGCUUAUCUUUGGUAAUCUGCAGAUAUUUUUUGAGAUACCUAGAAUGAUAUGUCGAUAACAUGUGGCAUGUGGUGUGUUAAACUGCUGGAAUUGUGUUGCUGCACUACGUAGUGGUAAAAUGAUAUCAGUAUAUGAAGGAAUGAUGGUUAUUGAAAUGAUUGAAAUUGUGGUAUAUCUGUUUCUAUUGUAAUUGAUGUGUGCUAUAUAUGUAUGUUCCCGAUUGAAUUGAAUUGUGCUUCUGAUUGAAAUGUGAUAAAAUUUAAUGUGGUAUAUAUGUUCCUGUUUUUGAAUUGUAUUUUGGAUUACUCAACAAUAUUGUCUUAAAGUAUAUAGAUAAACUUAUUGUAUAGGACGGUGAACUAUAGGGAUGCCGACAAACAGGAAACGUAAUGCAUUUAUCCUUAUGAUGAUUGAGGAAAUAUUACAACAACAGAAGCUCCAGCUUAUAAUUGCACUAGAUGCUCUUGUUAUGGCUACAAACCGAAAAAGAAAACGUAGCUUGAAUUGACAGCAAUACACCAUGAUACCUAGAAUAUUCCAUCAAGUUAAGCAUUUGAACAGAUUGCAUAAGGUUAGUGACAUGGACUGCAUCAUGAACCUAAGGAUGGAUGGCAAUUGUUUUGGUCGGUUGUGUCAACUAUUGAAGUUUUUUUGGGGGGAGGGCUUAGUGAUGGUAGGUAUGUUAGUGUUGAAGAGCAAGUAGUUGUCUUCUUGUCUGUUUCAGCUCACCAUAGGAAGAAUAGUGUUGUGAAGUUUGACUUUCGGAGGAGUGGUCAAAUCAUAUCGCAUUACGUGCACGUAGUUCUCAAAGUCAUUAUAAAAUUACAUGUAAUAUUGUUUGUGAAGCUCGCGGUUGUGCCCGAAAACUGUAUCGACCCACGAUGGAAGUGGUUCAAGGGAUGCUUAGGCGCAUUAGAUGUUAAUCGAGUUCAUGGGUUGAAGGUCCCGAUGGGUACUAUAUCUAUUUGUAAAAUCUGGUUAUUGGCUCGCAAGUGAUAUCCGGGGAAGAUCGGAAACCUCCACUUCAACUAUCAAUAAUGGAUUAUGGAACUGGAUCUGGGGUUUGGAUGUCAUUCCAAAGAUGCGGGAGUAGUAAGGAGACUAUCGAACAUGCACUUCGCGAUUGCCCUUGGGUGGAGUUCCUAUAGGUUGUAUCACGACUGCACUUGCAACAUUUUCCGAUGGGAACUGAUAGCUCUAUAGAUCCAUAGUUUGAUCGAAUGAAAGCUUACCCACAUAGAGAACUUCAUGCAACGUUUGCCACGAUUUUAUGGGCGAGCUGGUAUGCGAGAAAUCUACCAAAGUAAUUAACUGUCUCAUCUGGAAUGUCUGCGCAUUGCUUCUAGAGCUCAAUGGACGCCGCCUCAAUACUCAUCGUUGAACCAGACCAUGGCGACCUAUGUGAAUUGUACCCGUGAAGGACAAAUGAAGUUCUCCUGUGAUGCAGCGAUUAAUAAGAGCAAAGGAUGUGGGAUUGAAGUGGUGUUGGGGGCUGAAGAUGGUGCUCUUCUGGGAUGCAAGUUUGGCGCCUAACCAUGGGCUUUCUCGGCCAUUGAAGGGGAAACACUUGCACUCGUGGAAGCUGUGAGGUGGUGCUGUAACUGGAAGAUUGACGACAUAAUUCUUGAAAUGGAUUGCCAAGCUCUCUAGUGGUUGUUGGUGAAGCGCGAGAACGACCGAUCAUACCUAGGGGAUACUCUGAACCAAAUCUUUGAGUUGAGCUCUACCAUUCCUCGUUGUGCUUUUAGCUGGACCCCUAGAGAGGGGAACACAACGGCCGAUCAUUUAGCUAGUUUUGCUUUACGUACUUUUUCGCCUAUUUCCUUUUCUCGGGCUAUUCCUGAUGAUGUAAACUCUAGAUUUUAUGUUUAAUUCCAAUUAUCGUCUUUC